UUUAUUAUAGUUUUAAUUAGAUUUAUUUUUCAAUGGCACAACAUAUGCAUGUACACUACAAAAAAUCUAAAUGCAUGAUUUAGAACCUUGUGUAGUUAGCACGUACAUAAAUACAUGGUAUAUAGAUUAAAUAGAAUUAGAGGUUUUUACAAGAGAUUAACAAUUUUAUGGUUAAAUUCAUGCCAAGUAAUGUCAUCACUACUAUUCAAUGGAGGGAGUUGUUAAUCCUCAUUGUAGCAUCUAUUUGUCCAACAAACACUAUACCAUGCAUGUAGCCCCCUGCAUCAAUAUAUCACCCCAAUGAAAAUUAAAAAUGGAGGAAUUAGGAUGAAAUUUGAAAACAAUGGAGAAUGGGAUGAAAACUGAGAAUGAGAGGGAUUAAGAUGGAUCGAUUUAAUAAAAACAUGGGUCACUUCAACAUUCUCUUAUAUAUAUUGAAAGUUCUAUUUUUACUUACUUCUUAUU
rnacentral:lncRNA from 1 species